rnacentral:rRNA from 1 species
AUUGAACGCUGGCGGCAGGCCUAACACAUGCAAGUCGAGCGGAUGAAGGGAGCUUGCUCCUGGAUUCAGCGGCGGACGGGUGAGUAAUGCCUAGGAAUAUGCCUGGUAGUGGGGGAUAACGUCCGGAAACGGGCGCUAAUACCGCAUACGUCCUGAGGGAGAAAGUGGGGGAUCUUCGGACCUCACGCUAUCAGAUGAGCCUAGGUCGUAUUAGCUAGUUGGUGGGGUAAAGUCCUACCAAGGCGACGUUCCGUAACUGGUCUGAGAGGAUGAUCAGUCACACUGGAACUGAGACACGGCCCAGCCUCCUACGGGAGGCAGCAGUGGGGAAUAUUGGCCAAUGGGCGAAAGCCUGAUCCAGCCAUGCGGCGUGGGUGAAGAAGGUCUUCGGAUUGUAAAGCACUUUAAGUUGGGAGGAAGGGCAGUAAGUUAACACCUUGCUGUUUUGACGUUACCAACAGAAGAAGCACCGGCUAACUCCGU